ensembl:lncRNA
ACAGAACCUGCAAAAAUUCAAGCAUAACCGGAAGGCGUGGAAAAAGGCGCCCAAAAACAAAACGUUAGUUGGAGGGAGGACGUGAUCGGAACCUGCAAAAAGUCAAGAAAAUUUCUGGUGGGCAAAAAUACAGAGUGUCAAGUUAACUGUCACCAUUAAGGUAAGCUGUUGAUACAUUUCAUGCUGUCGUUCAAUAUUUAAAGUAUUAAUGUAUUUUUUUUUUUUCUCCAUAGCACCUGGUUAUUGUCAUUGUACUGCAUGACUAAUUUUCAAAGAGUAAAUGUUAGUGUAAUUACUGUGUAAUGGAGAGAAAAAAGUGGAAUAUCAC